GAGUGGACAGUAAGUUCACUCUGAGCAUCCCCUCCUCCAUGAGAUGAACAGGAGAAGCGUGCCUGCUGCUGCUGUCCUAGUCACAUCAUCCUGCUUUGCACCCGGGCCAGCAAGAACCUGUUGGUGCCAUGGGGAUGAGGGGCGUGUGUGUGCAUGUGUGUGUGGCAAACCUGAGCCCAGCUCAGAGCACUGACCCAGCUAAAUAUCCAUGAUUUUUUUUUUCUUUGCUUGAAAUUUUUAUUGAGAUAUUCGUAGAGCCACACGUAGUUGUGAGGAAUAACGUAGAGAGAGCCCAUGUGCUCUUUACCCAGUUUCUUCCAAUGGUAGCAUUUUGCACAAUGUCACAAGUGGGAUAUUGAAAUUGACACAAUGCACGCACCUUCUUCAGUCUUACUCAUUUAUGUGUGUGCUUAUUUGUUCUGUGCAAUUGUAUCGCAUGUGUGACGUCCUACACACACCGCUUCAGUCACGAAAAUGGUUCCAGCUUCGCAGGCUCUCCCUGUAACUGUUUGAUGAAAGGCCACAUCCACUUCCACUCCGCCUGUGCCUUCCCUACCCUUCCUUUUGUAAUCCUUGCCACCAAAAUUUAGCCAUAUCAAAAAUGUUACAUUGAGAGAAUCCCACAGUGUAACCUUUUGGGAUUGCCUUUUUUUUUUUUGCUCAGCAUGAUUUCCUGGAGAUCCAUCCAAGUUGUCGCAUGUAGCAGUGGGUUCCUUCUGUUGCUGAGGAGUGUCCCAGGGGUUGUCUGGAUCACAGUUUCUUUAGCCACUCGCCAGUGGAAGGACAUCCAGGCGGAUUCCCACUUGUUGCUAUUACAAAUGCAGCUGCUACAAAUUUUGUGUGUAGAUUGUUGUGUGAAUAUCCUUUUCGUUUCUCCAAGAUAACUGUCUAAAAGAACAUUGUAGCAUUCUGCUUUGAUGUUUGGCCCAAGGAAGAUUUUACAAAAUGCCUGUCUUUGUGGCUUUCUCACUGGAGAGUCGGCAGCUGGUGUGGAAUUAUGCGGUGAACAGAAGAGCACACCUUUCACGUUUUCUCUCCUGGAGAAUGGAGCUACACGGGAAAACAUACAGCAAGGUGAUACUGCCUCUCUUGCUCGGGGCUGUGUGACUGAGUUCUGGCUAAUGGGACAUAGGUGGAAGGAGGCAUGCCAUGUUUGAGUCCAGUCCAUAAAUGCCCCCACCUCUUCAUUCCCCGUCUGCGGGCCCAGUGGAGAGGAGCUGGAGGAGGCCAAGUCACUGGAGGGAAGAUGCGAGGUCCCUGAGUGACCACGUGGAUGACUGCGACUCAGCAGGGAUGCCUACAGAGGGCUUUGUGCAAGUGAGAAGCGGGUCCUGACGGUGCCAGGUGAGAAGCGGGUCCUGACCCUGUCAGGUGAAAAGCGGGUCCUGACGGUGCCAGGUGAGAAGCGGGUCCUGACGGUGCCAGGUGAGAAGCGGGUCCUGACCCUGUCAGGUGAGAAGCAGGUCCUGACGGUGUCAGGUGAGAAGCGGGUCCUGACGGUGCCAGGUGAGAAGCGGGUCCUGACGGUGCCAGGUGAGAAGCGGGUCCUGAC
rnacentral:lncRNA from 13 species